CCGGCGGAUUAAAAAUCAUGAAUUUCGGCGAUCCGUAUAGCGAACACAAAUUGCGCAGCUAGCCGCCAUCGAAAAUUCUGAUCAAAGUAUGUCUCACAAGGUCGUCUCCGUCGCCGCCGGAGAAGCUCACACUCUCGUUCUUACUGCGGAUGGAAGCUUGUUCUCUUGGGGAAGGGGGACAUUUGGGCGGCUCGGCACCAGUAAGGAAGACGACGAGCUCUUUCCGGUUCCAAUUCCAUCUUUUGCUAGUUCGAACGUGUCACAAGCCAACUACAUAGGGAUUGCUACAGGGGACAUUUGUGUUGUAUUUCGAAUGCAAAAACCAACGUAUUCGAGUAGAAAGUAAAUUAUGUUUUCAUGUCCUAAAUUUUCGAUUAAUUUAUUUA